UAUCUGGAAAAGAAAUCAAUAAAUAGUGCGACGUGAGUGACAAAUCGGUUUACUUGACUCCCUCGAGCACCUUUGGCUGACAUCGUCUGUACUGAGAUGACGACACGACUGCUGUUGGCGCUGGCGGUGAUGACUGUGAUGUGGCACUUCUCAGUCGCAGAGCCCCCUCCGUGUUUAAAAUACUUCGCACUUUGUGAAAAUAGAAGAGACUCGUGCUGUGCAAACUCUAAGUGUGUGUACAUGGUGACGAGGGACGAGCACGGCCUUCCUCAAAGCAACUACAAAUGCGCUCCCUUGACCCCCACCUGGAAGCGGUGAAUGCCAACCUCGGGUGGACAAAUGUAGCUAAAUAUGGCUAAUUUAAAUAGCUACAGACUGUAGUUAGUAAAGCUUUCUGCCUUGCUGAAUACAGAAUAACUCACAAGAGAC
rnacentral:lncRNA from 1 species